rnacentral:rRNA from 1 species
CUACGGAGGGUGCAAGCGUUACUCGGAAUCACUGGGCGUAAAGCGCGCGCAGGCGGGCUGAUAAGUUGUAUGAGAAAGCCUACGGCUCAACCGUAGAACUGCAUCCAAAACUGUCAGUCUAGAGUCUGGGAGGGGAAGAUGGAAUUAGUUGUGUAGGGGUAAAAUCCGUAGAGAUAACUAGGAAUACCAAAAGCGAAGGCGAUCUUCUGGAACAGUACUGACGCUGAGGCGCGAAAGCGUGGGGAGCAAACAGGAUUAGAAACCCUAGUAGUCC